GAUCUAUGAUGAUCAAUCUUAAGGCUUGUUUCUCAACAUUCGCAGGGCCGACUAAGGGCUUUCGUCUUGCCAGGCUUGAGAGUCAAUGCUGCUUAGUUCCUUCCUUGGAUGUCUGAGAUU
rnacentral:snoRNA from 1 species